CUAUGCUAUGGCCUCUAAAGUCUGUUUGGUUCCAACAGGUGACUCAACCCAAGAUUUGGGCCGCUCCACCUUGUGGUCAGGACUGCCAUGAGAUUGGAGGAGCCAGCCCUUGUUGCGCUUGUCACUGACUGCUGCCGUGAUUCUAGAAGUGUGUCUGUCUGCUUCUCUGGCUGUGUGGGAGAUGCACUUCACCUCGUGGCUCCACCCUUCAAAGGUUACAUUUGCUGCAUGGAAGAGCAGUUGACUCUGAUGAUAGGGAAUGUCUCAUUGUACCCCUUUUCCACACCAUCUGUCUGACCUGGACCCAUUCCAAACACUACGGCUUUGCUGGCAGAAUGGUCUUCCUGCUACAGAAGUUUUGUAAUCUACUAAUUGACAGGGCUGAGGGCAGAAGAAUCCCAGAGAAGGAAGUACCGUCAAAGUCAUGCUGUUCAAGUUGGCGUUUGUGGCUGUCCUCGUCUUGAAAUUGUGCUUUAAAAUUCAGAGUGAGUCAACUCCACGUCGGUGAGUGUGGUCGUGCUUACUGAUCCAGAUGGCAGCCCCAGAGCCUGGGCCUCUCCGCACAGAAGCUACAUGCACACGUUGGGGGCAGGGCACACGUGUGGCGUGAUGCUGAGCCUCUGGCCUCCACAGGCCCCUCUCUCAGUUGCAGCCCCUUCAACUUGUGCUGAACAACGCCCGGCAUGAGGAACGAUGAGAAUGAAAGAGGAUUUCUUCCCUACCUUUGAAAACUUCAAAGAAAUUUUCCCCAGUCUGGUUCUGAUGAUCCAUGUCUCAGUGCAAAGCAUACAUAAAAAUCUGAAAUCCGCACGCUGAUCAGAACUAGUUUUUGGAAAGUCGGAUUUAAUCCCAUGAGCCAAAUGAUCACUACCAACAGCGAUCAGGAAAAACCAAAGUCCACAGCAAAUUUUAAUUUGGCAAAUGCAUAAAA